rnacentral:rRNA from 1 species
CCAGACUCCUACGGGAGGCAGCAGUAGGGAAUCUUCCGCAAUGGACGCAAGUCUGACGGAGCAACGCCGCGUGAGUGAAGAAGGUUUUCGGAUCGUAAAACUCUGUUGUUAGAGAAGAACAAGUGCUAGAGUAACUGUUAGCGCCUUGACGGUAUCUAACCAGAAAGCCACGGCUAACUACGUGCCAGCAGCCGCGGUAAUACGUAGGUGGCAAGCGUUGUCCGGAUUUAUUGGGCGUAAAGCGAGCGCAGGCGGUUCCUUAAGUCUGAUGUGAAAGCCCCCGGCUCAACCGGGGAGGGUCAUUGGAAACUGGGGAACUUGAGUGCAGAAGAGGAGAGUGGAAUUCCAUGUGUAGCGGUGAAAUGCGUAGAUAUAUGGAGGAACACCAGUGGCGAAGGCGACUCUCUGGUCUGUAACUGACGCUGAGGCUCGAAAGCGUGGGUAGCAAACAGGAUUAGAUACCCUGGUAGUCCACGCCGUAAACGAUGAGUGCUAAGUGUUAGACCCUUUCCGGGGUUUAGUGCCGCAGCUAACGCAUUAAGCACUCCGCCUGGGGAGUACGACCGCAAGGUUGAAACUCAAAGGAAUUGACGGGGGCCCGCACAAG